UCUAGUCCAUCGCCUUAACCACUCGGCCACAACGACACACUGUUCAAAUGCAUGUGGAUUCAAACCUGCGAGGGGAGACCCCAAUGGAUUUCUAGUCCAUCACCUUAACCACUCAGCCACAACAACACACACUGUAAUACGCACCGUCCAAAUGCAUGUGGUGAGUAUCUCAUAUUACACCACGAGAUUUUAAACAAAAAUUUGGAUCGUUGUCGGCAGGACCCGAACCUGCAGGGGUAGACCCCAAUGGAUUUCAAGUGCAUCGCCUUAACCACUCGGCCACAACAACACAGUAAACAAGUUUGGCCAAGGUCCUCACAUUGUCAAAAUGCGUAUGGCAAGGAGCUAGCAACACAACGAGAAUCUAAUACAAAAUCUGUAUCGUUGUUGGCAGGUGUCAAUCGUGCACUUAUGUAUCUGAUGUAAGUGACUGGCUCUCCGUUUAAAGGGUAAAAUUUUGUACUUUAGUCCCUCUGCAAUAACGCAGUAUGUAGGGGAGACGAGAAUUAAUUUAAGCCAGUACGGAAAGAAGAUUCGUUCCGAGUCUAACCGCUGUUCAGGUAACUAAUCUAUUGUUAGAUUAAUUCCGUCAUUUCCGGACGCCAGUCCCUUUUAAAGCAAAGAGAUCCCGGUGUUGAGUAAUUCCUUUUCGAGACCCGGGAUCAAAUUGAUCGUGGCCAUUUCAGCGGCUCUUCUUUCCUAUAAUGAUUGGGGCUUUUGUUAACUGCUCAGAAUAGAUUUAGCUGUCUUUGUUAAGACCGCAGGAACUCGUUUAUUUACACUAGCGUGCACCCACACUAGCUGAGCUCAAGUUAACUGUUUCGAACCAGAUUCUGACACUUCCUGAUGUCAAGGAUUAAAGCUGUCUUCAUUUAAAAAAGAACUGAACGGUUUACAGUAUGACUAUGAUAGAGAAACAAAACAGAUUUAAAGCAUAAAAGAUCAAAAUAAUCAUUAAUCAAAAUUAAAUGAUUGUAAAGUAGAAAUUUAAUGAAUAACCAAGAAAACGAAUUACAAGUUUCAAUUGUUCGAACAACUAACAAUAAUUUCCACUCACCACUCAAUAGAGCAAAGAUUAUUCAGUCUCGAAGUUUUCUCUAUUGAAAACUCAAAAACAUAGUGAAAAAGGGUAGGAGGCUAGAGGUCUAAAAUGCUAUUUGGUGGAAAAGUCGAGUGAUCAGUUCUCCUUGUUCCAAAAAUCUGAAUUCUGUUUAAAAGAACAGGCUGG